AGAGUUUGAUCCUGGCUCAGGAUGAACGCUGGCGGCGUGCUUAACACAUGCAAGUCGAACGGGAAUGCCACGCUGAUGCGAUUACGGUCAAAUCAUGUGGCAUUCGAGUGGCGGACGGGUGAGUAACGCGUGGGUAACCUGCCUUACACAGGGGGAUAACACCCGGAAACAGGUGCUAAUACCGCAUAAGCGCACAGGGCCGCAUGGCCCGGUGUGAAAAACUCCGGUGGUGUAAGAUGGACCCGCGUCUGAUUAGCUUGUUGGCGGGGUAGGGGCCCACCAAGGCGACGAUCAGUAGCCGGCCUGAGAGGGUGGACGGCCACAUUGGGACUGAGACACGGCCCAAACUCCUACGGGAGGCAGCAGUGGGGGAUAUUGGACAAUGGGGGAAACCCUGAUCCAGCGACGCCGCGUGAGUGAAGAAGUAUUUCGGUAUGUAAAGCUCUGUCAGCAGGGAAGAAAGAAAUGACGGUACCUGACCAAGAAGCCCCGGCUAACUACGUGCCAGCAGCCGCGGUAAUACGUAGGGGGCAAGCGUUAUCCGGAAUUACUGGGUGUAAAGGGAGCGUAGACGGUGAUGCAAGUCUGGAGUGAAAGGCGGGGGCCCAACCCCCGGACUGCUCUGGAAACUGUGUAACUUGAGUGCAGGAGAGGUAAGCGGAAUUCCUAGUGUAGCGGUGAAAUGCGUAGAUAUUAGGAGGAACACCAGUGGCGAAGGCGGCUUACUGGACUGUAACUGACGUUGAGGCUCGAAAGCGUGGGGAGCAAACAGGAUUAGAUACCCUGGUAGUCCACGCUGUAAACGAUGAU
rnacentral:rRNA from 1 species